rnacentral:rRNA from 1 species
GGCCCCGAUUCUUACGGAGGCAGCAGUAGGGAUUUUCCGCAAUGGACGAAAGUCUGACGGAGCAACGCCGGCUGAGUGAUGAAGGUUUUCGGAUCGUAAAGCUCUGUUGUUAGGGAAGAACAAGUGCCGUUCAAAUAGGGCGGCACCUUGACGGUACCUAACCAGAAAGCCACGGCUAACUACGUGCCAGCAGCCGCGGUAAUACGUAGGUGGCAAGCGUUGUCCGGAAUUAUUGGGCGUAAAGGGCUCGCAGGCGGUUUCUUAAGUCUGAUGUGAAAGCCCCCGGCUCAACCGGGGAGGGUCAUUGGAAACUGGGGAACUUGAGUGCAGAAGAGGAGAGUGGAAUUCCACGUGUAGCGGUGAAAUGCGUAGAGAUGUGGAGGAACACCAGUGGCGAAGGCGACUCUCUGGUCUGUAACUGACGCUGAGGAGCGAAAGCGUGGGGAGCGAACAGGAUUAGAUACCCUGGUAGUCCACGCCGUAAACGAUGAGUGCUAAGUGUUAGGGGGUUUCCGCCCCUUAGUGCUGCAGCUAACGCAUUAAGCACUCCGCCUGGGGAGUACGGUCGCAAGACUGAAACUCAAAGGAAUUGACGGGGGCCCGCACAAGCGGUGGAGCAUGUGGUUUAAUUCGAAGCAACGCGAAGAACCUUACCAGGUCUUGACAUCCUCUGACAAUCCUAGAGAUAGGACGUCCCCUUCGGGGGCAGAGUGACAGGUGGUGCAUGGUUGUCGUCAGCUCGUGUCGUGAGAUGUUGGGUUAAGUCCCGCAACGAGCGCAACCCUUGAUCUUAGUUGCCAGCAUUCAGUUGGGCACUCUAAGGUGACUGCCGGUGACAAACCGGAGGAAGGUGGGGAUGACGUCAAAUCAUCAUGCCCCUUAUGACCUGGGCUACACACGUGCUACAAUGGGCAGAACAAAGGGCAGCGAAACCGCGAGGUUAAGCCAAUCCCACAAAUCUGUUCUCAGUUCGGAUCGCAGUCUGCAACUCGACUGCGUGAAGCUGGAAUCGCUAGUAAUCGCGGAUCAGCAUGCCGCGGUGAAUACGUUCCCGGGCCUUGUACACACCGCCCGUCACACCACGAGAGUUUUAACACCCGAAGUCGGUGAGGUAACCUUUAGGAGCCAGCCGCCGAAGUCUCCC